rnacentral:rRNA from 1 species
GAAAUUGCACUACGAGUAAAGAUGCUCGUUACGCGCGGCAGGACGAAAAGACCCCGGGACCUUCACUAUAGCUUGGUAUUGGUGUUUGAUUCGGUUUGUGUAGGAUAGGUGGGAGACUUCGAUCAUAUGACGCUAGUUGUGUGUGAGUCGUUGGUGAAAUACCACUCUGAUCGGAUUGGAUGUCUUAACCUUGGCCCAUGAUCUGGGUUGGGGACAGUGCCUGGUGGGUAGUUUAACUGGGGCGGUUGCCUCCCAA